GAGGAAUUUUGGGCAAUGGGCGAAAGCCUGACCCAGCAACGCCGCGUCAGGGAAGAAGGCUUUCGGAUUGUAAACCUCUGUCCUCAGCGAAGAGCAAGAGACGGUAACUGAGGAGGAAGCCCCGGCUAACUACGUGCCAGCAGCCGCGGUAAUACGUAGGGGGCGAGCGUUGUCCGGAAUGAUUGGGCGUAAAGGGCGCGUAGGCGGCCUGUUAAGUCUGGAGUGAAAGUCCUGCCUUCAAGGUGGGAAUUGCUUUGGAUACUGGCGGGCAUGAGUGCAGGAGAGGUUAUCGGAAUUCCCGGUGUAGCGGAGAAAUGCGUAGAGAUCGGGAGGAACACCAGUGGCGAAGGCGGGUAACUGGACUGCAACUGACGCUGAGGCGCGAAAGUGUGGGGAGCAAACA
rnacentral:rRNA from 1 species